GGUAGCAAUACCGCUGACGACCGGCGCACGGGUGAGUAACACGUAUCCAACCUACCAUUCACUCGGGGAUAGCCUUUCGAAAGAAAGAUUAAUACCCGAUAGUAUAGCGAUAAGGCAUCUUAUUGCUAUUAAAGAAUUUCGGUGUUUGAUGGGGAUGCGUUCCAUUAGAUUGUUGGUGAGGUAACGGCUCACCAAGUCUUCGAUGGAUAGGGGUUCUGAGAGGAAGGUCCCCCACAUUGGAACUGAGACACGGUCCAAACUCCUACGGGAGGCAGCAGUGAGGAAUAUUGGUCAAUGGACGAGAGUCUGAACCAGCCAAGUAGCGUGAAGGAUGAAGGCCCUAUGGGUCGUAAACUUCUUUUAUAGGGGAAUAAAGUGCGGAACGUGUUCCGUUUUGUAUGUACCCUACGAAUAAGGAUCGGCUAACUCCGUGCCAGCAGCCGCGGUAAUACGGAGGAUCCGAGCGUUAUCCGGAUUUAUUGGGUUUAAAGGGAGCGUAGGUGGACGUAUAAGUCAGUUGUGAAAGUUUGCGGCUCAACCGUAAAAUUGCAGUUGAUACUGUAUGUCUUGAGUGUACAAGAGGUGGGCGGAAUUCGUGGUGUAGCGGUGAAAUGCUUAGAUAUCACGAAGAACUCCGAUUG
rnacentral:rRNA from 1 species